GCGCACGCUGGCGGCAGGCCUCACCCCUGCCAGUCGAACGGAUCCUUCGGGAUUAGUGGCGGACGGGUGAGUAACACGUGGGAACGUGCCCUUUGGUUCGGAACAACUCAGGGAAACUUGAGCUAAUACCGGAUGUGCCCUUCGGGGGAAAGAUUUAUCGCCAUUGGAGCGGCCCGCGUCUGAUUAGCUAGUUGGUGAGGUAACGGCCCACCAAGGCGACGAUCAGUAGCUGGUCUGAGAGGAUGAUCAGCCACACUGGGACUGAGACACGGCCCAGACUCCUACGGGAGGCAGCAGUGGGGAAUCUUGCGCAAUGGGCGAAAGCCUGACGCAGCCAUGCCGCGUGAAUGAUGAAGGUCUUAGGAUUGUAAAAUUCUUUCAGCGGGGACGAUAAUGACGGUACCCGCAGAAGAAGCUCCGGCUAACUUCGUG
rnacentral:rRNA from 1 species